GGACUACUAGGGUUUCUAAUCCUGUUCGCUACCCACGCUUUCGCUUCUCAGCGUCAGUUACUUCCCAGAGACCCGCCUUCGCCACCGGUGUUCCUCCUGAUAUCUGCGCAUUUCACCGCUACACCAGGAAUUCCAGUCUCCCCUGAAGUACUCUAGUCUGCCCGUAUCGACCGCAGGCCCACAGUUGAGCUGUGAGUUUUCACGACCGACGUGACAGACCGCCUACAAGCUCUUUACGCCCAGUAAUUCCGGACAACGCUCGCACCCUACGUAUUACCGCGGCUGCUGGCAC
rnacentral:rRNA from 1 species